GAGAGUGUAGCUCAAGUGAUAGAGUGCCUGCUUAGCAUGCAGGAGGUCCUGGGUACAAACCCCAGUACCUCCU
rnacentral:tRNA from 1 species